AGAAUUGUUGGCGCCCCAUAUCUUCUAUGCCCUCAUGGCGGCGCUCCACGAGGCCUGAACCACCAUGAUGCUGCUGUCGUGAGCAACAGCAGCCCCUUAUCGCCAUGAGAGUCGAUCUAUUAUUGUCGUCCGAGAAGAAUGAGAUCAGUCUCCAUGCGGGUGGAAAUUAGACGGUGUUUUUGUGGUGACGAUGGUGGGGAUGGUGAUGGUGUGGUGUGACGACGGUAUGGUGACAAUGGAAUGACAGAUCUAGAGUUUCUGGUUAGAUCGGGCGGGGCCGAGAAAGUCGCGCAUGCUAGACCCCUAAUCGACUAUGUUAAGUUUUAAUCGACUAUGCUCAGUACUCGAUUAAAGUUAAUCAUUACGUUUUUUAAUUCAUUUUUGAACUUUUGGUUAUUGAUUCCCGAUUUUGCCACGUGUAGUCGGACUUGGGGCAUUUAGGUAAUGCGUUUUUGUUCUAUCAUUGUCAAUCCAUCAUCCAAUA
rnacentral:lncRNA from 1 species